rnacentral:lncRNA from 10 species
ACCCGGAUUGCAUCGUGAGGGCGAGCUGAGUUCUCCUCUGCACAGACUUCAGAGAUACAGCGAAGGCGGAGCAGUGUUCUCCUCAGCACAGACCCGGGCGGACGGGUGGGCCGGGGGCACCGCAAGGGCGGAGCUGCGUUCUGCUCAGCACAGACCCGGGGGACACAGCGAAGGCAGAGCAGCGUUCUCCUCAGCACAGACCUUGGGAGCACUGCAUCGCUUUGGGCAGAAUAGAUUACUGAUUUUGGGCACUCCAAGAUUUUGGGAGAGACCUCUCUCAUGAGAACUUUAUGUGGAACCCCCACCUGCUUGGCUCCUGAAGUUCUUGUUUCUGUUGGGACUGCUGGGUAUAACCGUGCUGUGGACUGCUGGAGUUUAGGAGUUAUUCUUUUUAUCUGCCUUAGUGGGUAUCCACCUUUCUCUGAGCACAGGACUCAAGUGUCACUGAAGGACCAGAUCACCAGUGGAAAACACAACUUCAUUCCUAAAGUCUGGGCAGAAGUCUCAGAGAAAGGGGCAGCAGGUGGAGAGCGGUCCUGGAAGGAUUUGAG